UACGUAGGUGACCAGCGUUGUCCGGAUUUAUUGGGCGUAAAGAGCUCGUAGGUGGUUCGGUAAGUCGGGUGUUAAACCCCCAGGCUCAACCUGGGGACGCCACUCGAUACUGCUGUGACUAGAGUCCGGUAGGGGAGCGUGGAAUUCCUGGUGUAGCGGUGAAAUGCGUAGAUAUCAGGAGGAACACCUAUGGCGAAGGCAGCUCGCUGGGACGGUACUGACGCUGAGACGCGAAAGCGUGGGGAGCGAACAGG
rnacentral:rRNA from 1 species